CGGGCUGUGGCGCAGUUUGGUAGCGCACCGCGUUCGGGACGCGGAGGUCAUCGGUUCAAAUCCGGUCAGCCCGA
rnacentral:tRNA from 1 species